GACGAACGCUGGCGGCGUGCCUAAUACAUGCAAGUUGAGCGCUGAAGGUUGGUACUUGUACCAACUGGAUGAGCAGCGAACGGGUGAGUAGCGCGUGGGGAAUCUGCCUUUGAGCGGGGGACAACAUUUGGAAACGAAUGCUAAUACCGCAUAAAAACUUUAAACACAAGUUUUAAGUUUGAAAGAUGCAAUUGCAUCACUCAAAGAUGAUCCCGCGUUGUAUUAGCUAGUUGGUGAGGUAAAGGCUCACCAAGGCGAUGAUACAUAGCCGACCUGAGAGGGUGAUCGGCCACAUUGGGACUGAGACACGGCCCAAACUCCUACGGGAGGCAGCAGUAGGGAAUCUUCGGCAAUGGACGAAAGUCUGACCGAGCAACGCCGCGUGAGUGAAGAAGGGUUUCGGAUCGUAAAACUCUGUUGGUAGAGAAGAACGUUGGUGAGAGUGGAAAGCUCAUCAAGUGACGGUAACUACCCAGAAAGGGACGGCUAACUACGUG
rnacentral:rRNA from 1 species